CUCUCUAAAACUUUUGCUCUCCCUUCUCUCUAGAAAGAAGAAAAAGCAGCGCCCCCUUUUUCCUUUCUUCUCCGGCGAGACCAACUUUCCGGCGCGGUGGCCGGUGGUGGCACCACCGCGCCGGAGUUUCAAAACUCAACCAAAUUCAAAAAAAAUUUCAGUUUUGAAUAUCCUUUUUCUUGCUUUGUGCGAAUCUGAACUUAGAUUUUUGAAAACAAACUCCCGCAAACCUAGAUCUAACAAAGAAAAAUCAAAGAAAAGUGAGCUAAAAACACUACCUUUUGAUCUUCUCCGGUCCGUUUACUCUUCUCCGGUCCGUUCUUUCCUUUUCCGGUUCGUUCUUCCUUGUUUUGGUUCGGAUUGUGUUGCUUUUGGUUCGGAUUUGUGUUGUUGUGGUUCGGAUUUGUGCUGGUUGUUGUUGUUGUUAUUGAGUAAGGUAUUUGAAGUUAUGGUGUUGCUGGGUUUUUCUAUGAAUCUAUGAAUGUUCUUCCUAAACUCAUACUAUUUUCUUUGUAAUUUUUGGGUUUGAUUUGAAAAAGGUUGGAACAGUAGAAAAUUAGGGUUUAUGAAUUGCUGCUGGUUUUCUGACGUGAACAGUGACUUCUCCCAUUUCCCAAUGAUUGACAGUGUUUAAAUAGUGACAAAUUAGGGUUGGCUCUGGUACAAAACAAAAGACCAAAAUGCCCCUGCAGCUGAGACUUGGAGAAAAAGAUUUGACCAAAAAGAUAAAUAGAUAAAUAAAAAAACAAAAUGAAUAAAAUAAAUAAGAAAAUAAUAAAAAAAAUAAAAAGAAAAGAAAAGAAAGAAAGAGGUAACGUGAGUGACUUCUUUUUGUUUUUUCUAAAAAAAAUAAAAAUAAAAAAGAAUAAAUAAAAAUAAACAAACUAGCCUAAAAAGAAAAUAAAAAAGUCCCUUCGGAAUCUGACAUGAGGUACUUCAAAGUAUCCUCCCUGCCGAAAUUUCGAUUGAAAAGAUUAAUAAAAAAAAACGCCUUUUAAAAUGCGAUUAGCCAUUUUAAAAUGACUUGUCUGUUAUGACUAAAAGGAUUAUAAAAUGCGUUUAUAAAAAUGCA
rnacentral:lncRNA from 1 species